GUGUUGGGGUGGGGUGGGUUGUAUAACCUUAAUGGUUUUUCUGUAAUAUUAUUUUUAGUUGAGCCUGCAACUCCAUGUUCACCUAAUAAGAAUUGUAAUGUAACCUUGAUUGUAUUACAAAUACAUUUGCAUUCAACCAAACAAAGCCCAAGGGUGUGGGCAUUUUUUUUCAAAGUUUUUGUUUUAGGCUUCAUUAGCUGAAAUGAAAUGUAAGUCCAACUGUUGAUUAUUGAAAUUGUUAAAAACAUGGAUGUGUAGCAGUUUUACCUAUACUAUCAUUCUGACUAACAGUUUUAUUAUCAUUCUGCAGUCUCUAAUUUGUGAAUUUGUUAACUUGAAUUAUUUAAAGAGAAGUGGUUUGUUGCUAUCAUAUGCAAUG
rnacentral:misc_RNA from 1 species